rnacentral:ncRNA from 1 species
CUGAAGGGCGCGUCCGGGUCAAUUGCGGACUGCAACACCCCGAUCUCCCUCAACAUACCGCCGAACAUGGCGGUCGAGGGAGGGGGAGCGCGUGACCGUCAG